GACUGUAUAGCUUAUACUUAAAUUUAAUGUAUGUAUGUAUGUAGUCUGUCAUUGGCUCAGGAUGUGGAUGAAGAAGCAUUGAAUGAACUCUUCCCACAAGUGUAUAGUGAUUUUCAGAGUAAAAAGAAUAAUGUGGCUGAUGGCAAUUAAUGUUCAUCUACAUUUUGAAAUGUUUAUUAUUAUGAAUGUUCAUAGCCUUUGAUGAAAUAUUGACCAACUUCGAAUCUAAUCCUCUAUUUGAAAAGGAUCCGAAAGGAAAAGUGCUUCUAGUCUCUGAUUUUAUAAACGAGCCACUAUGAUAUCUGUGACAUUGAUUGUGAUUUGGGACUAGAAUAUUACAUUAGUCACUUCCCAUUUUUGGAUCGUACUAGGAAUGACAAUAACUGUACAUUUAGCAGAAACUUCAUCAGAAGUACACUUAAAAAGAGAGAGUCUUACAAUUGAAAGAUUUAUUGAUCUGAAAUUGAGUACAGCAAAGUAAAAGUAAAAAGAAAAGACUUAAAUGAUAUCAGGCCACUGCAAUUAGAUGACAUGGUGUUUGAAAUUCAGUACUAUCUUAUGGGCAUUGAAGGAGACAUACUGCAAAAACCAGUUACAAUACUUUCCAACACAAAAAUGUGGCCAGAAUCACUGAUUUUACUCAUCAUGGAGAAAUACAAGCUUAAUUAUACAGAAGCUGUUAAUUGUUUUAAGUCAAAAAAAUUACUGUGACUCGAUUAAUAACUAUAGUGCAU